CGUACACUCCUGCGGGAGGCAGCAGUGGGGAAUAUUGCACAAUGGGCGCAAGCCUGAUGCAGCCAUGCCGCGUGUAUGAAGAAGGCCUUCGGGUUGUAAAGUACUUUCAGCGGGGAGGAAGGCAAUACGGUUAAUAACCGUGUUGAUUGACGUUACCCGCAGAAGAAGCACCGGCUAACUCCGUGCCAGCAGCCGCGGUAAUACGGAGGGUGCAAGCGUUAAUCGGAAUUACUGGGCGUAAAGCGCACGCAGGCGGUCUGUCAAGUCGGAUGUGAAAUCCCCGGGCUCAACCUGGGAACUGCAUGCGAAACUGGCAGGCUGGAGUCUUGAAGAGGGGGGUAGAAUUCCAGGUGUAGCGGUGAAAUGCGUAGAGAUCUGGAGGAAUACCGGUGGCGAAGGCGGCCCCCUGGACAAAGACUGACGCUCAGGUGCGAAAGCGUGGGGAGCAAACAGGAUUAGAUACCCCAGUAGUCCC
rnacentral:rRNA from 1 species